AGUGAACGCUGGCGGUAGGCCUAACACAUGCAAGUCGAACGGCAGCACAGUAAGAGCUUGCUCUUACGGGUGGCGAGUGGCGGACGGGUGAGGAAUACAUCGGAAUCUACUUUUUCGUGGGGGAUAACGUAGGGAAACUUACGCUAAUACCGCAUACGACCUACGGGUGAAAGCAGUGGAUCUUCUGACCUUGCGCGAUUGAAUGAGCCGAUGUCGGAUUAGCUAGUUGGCGGGGUAAAGGCCCACCAAGGCGACGAUCCGUAGCUGGUCUGAGAGGAGGAUAAGCCACACUGGAAGUGAGACACGGUCCAGACUCCUACGGGAGGCAGCAGUGGGGAAUAUGGGACAAUGGGCGCAAGCCUGAUCCAGCCAUACCGCGUGGGUGAAGAAGGCCUUCGGGUUGUAAAGACCUUUUGUUGGGAAAGAAAAGCAGCAGGUUAAUACCCAGCUGUUGUGACGGUACCCAAAGAAUAAGCACCGGCUAACUUCGUG
rnacentral:rRNA from 1 species